UUAUUCUUAUCUUGUGUGUCCUGCCAACUUGACAUGCAUUGGUUGGUUUCAUUAAGUGGAUUUACCUUAUGGGUGGUAUUUUCCAAAACAGUGGGCUGGUGAUUAUAAGGUAAUUUAGAAUUAUUAUUUAUAUGAUGAUGAUCAGAAUUAGAUGAACAAGAAAUAUUAGCAGGGAUUGGGUGAGAUUUCCUUAUGCCUGUGUCAUGUACCGGUAGAGGAUAUUUUCCUUUGUAUUUUAGUUUUUGAGUAUUAAGAUACUUACAUGCGGUAGCAUCAAAGAUUUUGACAUUAAUACCUGCAUCAUGUGUGUUCCUGAUUGAUUCAGACUUUGUUCUUGGAGGAUUCUUCUUUCUUUUAGAGAACACCACUGUCUGCCAAUUUUCACCAUCUCUUUCUUUUGACAUUUGUGGAGAGCCUUGUUGCAACGUAUUAUUUCUUGAUUUUUCUGGAAUAGAGUAGGGGAACUGUAGGGAUGAAUGGCCUAAUCUUCCACAUAGUUUGCAUAAGAAAUUGUCACCCUCAUAUAAUAUUUGCUGUUUAUGAGAACCGAUGAAAAUAUAUGACUUCACUGGCUGAUCUAAAGAGACUUCCACACAAAGUCUUGCAUAGUGUCCUCUCAAGGUUGAUGAUGUACAUGCAUCAACUUUUAAUAAACGCCCAAUUUUGCUACCAAUUUUCUUUAAUAUAAUGGCAUCAUACCCAUACAAAGGCAAUUUGCCAUUUUGCCUGAGAAGCAACAUAGUUUGGUUAGGCGGAGCUAGGAUUUGAAGUAUGUGGUUCUAAAUUUUAAAAUAACACUGCGUUCAGCGGGAAUCGAACCUCAUCUUUCCCAGCGAACCCACAAUCCUUACCGUUGAACUAAGACCUUCGGGGAUGAUAGAUCCUAUGCAUAUCUUCAACAGAUAAGGUGACCAUGUGAUCUGCAUUUUUUGAUUCAUCUCCGCCAAUACCUUUGUCAUCUAGCUCAUGUAUCUCCAUAGGUGCAAUUAGAUCCUCAAAUCAUUCCAUAGAGAUAAAGUUCGAGUGCGUAUAUGAUAGUAGCUUGUCUUUAAAAGUUGGAGUAGAGACGUGUGUAGCCAUGGGGCUACUGUUGGUGGGUAUAUGAUUGUUAAUAUCCGGCGGUUUUGGAGGGAUUUGAGUUGUUUGCUGCAAAGAUGGUUGAGGAUUUUGCAUUCUUCAAGUAUGAAAUGGAGGAACGGUAGUAGGAUUUUAGAGAUAGCCGGGUUAAAAUUUUUGUUAAUGUUUCAUUCAAAUCAAAUCUCUUUUUGUUAAUUUUUCAUUUUUAAUUUGAAUCUUCUCUGUUUCUCACAGAUUUAUCUAAUGUUGUUUAGAAUUUAUGAUUUGAAUAUUCUCUAUUUCUCACAGAUUUCUCUAAUGUUAUUUAGAAUCAGAAAAUAAAAGAUGACAAUGCCUCUUUCUCGUUUAUGUUAAUGUUUCAUUCAAAUCAAAUCUCUCUUUGUCAAUUUUUCAUUUAUGAUGUAAAUGGUCUCUAUUUUGUCAUAGAUUUCUCUAAUGUUGUUUAGAAUCAGAAAAUGACAGAUGCUAAUGUCUCUUUUUUUUGUCUCAUUUUUGUUAAUUUUUCAUAAUCAAAUCUCUAUUUAUUGAUUUUUCAUUUAUGAUUUGAAUGUUCUCUGUUCCUCGCAGAUUUCUCUAAUAUUGUUUAGAAUCAGAAAAUGACAAGAUGAUAAUGACUCUUUUGUUUUUGCUCAUUUUUUUUGUUUAUAUUUCAUUCAAAUCAAAUCUCUCUUUGUUAAUUUUUCAUUUUGUGAUUUGAAUGUUCUCUAUUUCUCACAAAUUUCUCUAAUGUUGUUUAAAAUCAGAAAAUGGCAAGAUGAUAAUGAUUCUUUUGAUUUUGCUCGUUUUUGCUAAUGUUUCAUUCAAAUCAAAUCUUUCUUUGUUAACUAUUUAUUUAUGAUUUGAAUGUUCUCUAUUUCUAAUAGAUUUCUUUAAUGUUGUUUAGAUAAUCGAAAAAUGGCGGAUGAUAGUCCAUGGAUGAAAAUCGCAAUAAGUUUGUAGAAGAGCUUCGUAUAGUUGAUAUGGAGAUAGAAGAGAUUCGUAUAGAAAGGAUAUUUUGAGGAUAGAUAUGUUUGUACUCAUGACCCAAGGACACUUUACAAAGUUUGAAGAUGAGACAAAAGAAUUCAACUCUUACAUUGAACUUCUAACACAACUCUUAGAAGAUACAAAGAGGGAGUGGUACAACUUCUUAAUGAAGGAUGGGAGAGGAGGUGGUGAAGAACAAGAAUUUUGAAGAGUAAAGCAUUAAUAUAGAAGUUAGGUAAAGAACAAUUACUUACUGUUAGCCUAAAUGAAUUUUUGCUUACUAGUAUUUGCCUCUCCAACAGUAAAGAAGUUAGUGAAGAACAAUUACUCCUAAUUAUUUUUUUAUAUUGGUGACUUACCCAAUGAAGCAUUGGUAUGUUUUAGAUUGGAUAAAUGGAAGGUGCCAACCCUCAUACAUUUCUGUACCUGCUGGUUUUUGACUGUAUUGCAAGUGUACAUGAAGGUUGUAAGUUGUAGGAGAAAGUUCAUAUUUUGUGAAGUGCUAACAAGUUUUUGUCAUGUGAAUGGGCAUGUCCAUUUAUCUCUCUUGAGGAUUGUGUUGAAAUACAUACUCUUAUUCUUAUAUAACUUUCUAUUUUGUUAUAUAGGGGGCUGCCACCAUACUGCAGAAUCAAUUAAAAAAAUCUUUUCUGGAAAAAAAAAUUACUCUUAAUUGCUCAUCUGCUUUUGUUUGUAAGAACAAAUAGGUACUUUUU
rnacentral:lncRNA from 1 species